UUUUAUUUGAGAGUUUGAUCCUGGCUCAGGAUGAACGCUGGCGGCGUGCCUAACACAUGCAAGUUGAGCGAUUUACUUCGGUAAAGAGCGGCGGACGGGUGAGUAACGCGUGGGUAACCUACCCUGUACACACGGAUAACAUACCGAAAGGUAUGCUAAUACGGGAUAAUAUAUUUGAGAGGCAUCUCUUGAAUAUCAAAGGUGAGCCAGUACAGGAUGGACCCGCGUCUGAUUAGCUAGUUGGUAAGGUAACGGCUUACCAAGGCGACGAUCAGUAGCCGACCUGAGAGGGUGAUCGGCCACAUUGGAACUGAGACACGGUCCAAACUCCUACGGGAGGCAGCAGUGGGGAAUAUUGCACAAUGGGCG
rnacentral:rRNA from 1 species